GUAGGGAAUAUUGCGCAAUGGACGAAAGUCUGACGCAGCGACGCCGCGUGAGUGAUGAAGGCCUUAGGGUCGUAAAGCUCUGUUGAAUGGGACGAAAAAAAUGACGGUACCAUUCGAGGAAGGACCGGCUAACUUCGUGCCAGCAGCCGCGGUAAUACGAGGGGUCCUAGCGUUGUUCGGAAUCAUUGGGCGUAAAGGGUGUGUAGGUGGCCAUGUAAGUCAGGUGUGAAAGCCCCGGGCUCAACCCGGGAAGUGCACUUGAUACUGCGUGGCUUGAGUAACGAAGAGGGUAGUGGAAUUCCAGGUGUAGUGGUGAAAUACGUAGAUAUCUGGAGGAACACCGGUGGCGAAGGCGGCUACCUGGUCGAGUACUGACACUGAGACACGAAAGCAUGGGGAUCAAACAGGAUUAGAAACCCGUGUAGUCC
rnacentral:rRNA from 1 species